GGAAUAUUGGGCAAUGGGCGCAAGCCUGACCCAGCAACGCCGCGUGAGGGAAGAAGGUCUUCGGAUUGUAAACCUCUGUCCUAUGUGACGAAGGAAGUGACGGUAGCAUAGGAGGAAGCCCCGGCUAACUACGUGCCAGCAGCCGCGGUAAUACGUAGGGGGCGAGCGUUGUCCGGAAUUACUGGGCGUAAAGGGUGCGUAGGUGGCACUUUAAGUUGGAUGUGAAAUCCCCGUGCUUAACAUGGGAGCUGCAUCCAAUACUGGAGAGCUAGAGUGCAGGAGAGGUAAGCGGAAUUCCUAGUGUAGCGGUGAAAUGCGUAGAUAUUAGGAGGAACACCAGUGGCGAAGGCGGCUUACUGGACUGUAACUGACACUGAGGCACGAAAGCGUGGGGAGCAAACA
rnacentral:rRNA from 1 species